rnacentral:lncRNA from 1 species
UACUCCAGCUUUCUUUUCAUUCCCAUUUGCAUAGAAUACUUUUUCCACCUCUUUAAUUUGUGUCUUUAGAUCUAAAGUGAGUCUCUUACAGGCAUCAUAUAAAUGGCUCUUGUUUUUUAAAUCCAUUCAGCUUCCUUCUUUAUGACUUUCUUUUUUUUUUUUUUAGGGCCACACCAGCAGCAUAUGGAAGUUCCCAGUCUAAGGGUUGAAAUGGAGCUGUAGCUGCCAGCCUAUGCCACAGCCACAGCCACAUCCAUGCCAGAUCCGAGCCAUGUCUAUGGCUUACACUGUAGCUCACAGCAACACCGGAUCCUUAACACACUGAGUGAGGCCAGGGAUUGAACCUUCAUUUGUCAUGGAUACUAAUUGGGCUCCUUACUGCUGAGCCACAAUGGGAAAUCCAAGCCUCUUGGUGACUUUCAAUUGAAGCAUUUAGUCUAUUUACAUUUAAAGUAAUUAUUAAUAGAUAUGAACUUAUUGCCGUUUUGUGAAAUUUUUUGGGGGGGUUGUAGUUCUUUUUGUGUGUUUCUUCUUCUUUUGAUCUCUUCCAUUGUGAUUUGAUGGCUGUCCUUAGUGUGGUGUUGAAUUCCUUUUUCUUUUGUGUGUGUUUAUCUAUUACACACUUUGGUUUGUGGUUACUAUGAAGUUCAUCGUAGCAAUUACAUAUAUACAUGAUCAGUUUAAGUUGAUCUCUUUAAUUUCAAAUGCAUUCUAACAACCCUGUAUUUUUGCUGUGCAGCCCACCACAUUUAUUGUUUUUGACAUCAUAUUUUACAUUUUCACAUGUUUUGUUUUGUGUAUCCCUUAACCACUUUGGAUAUAGAUGAUUUUACUGCUUUUGUCUCUUACCUUUCCUAGUAGUUGUGUAAGUGGUUGGAUUACUUACUACCUUUACUAUAUAUUUGCCUUUACCAAUAGGUUUUUCCUUUCAUAAAUCUUAUAUUUCUAACUGUGUUUUUUUCUUUUUUACGUAGAGAAUUUUCUUUAACAUUUUUCUUAAAGCUGGUUUGGUAGUGCUGCAUUCUUUAGCUUUUGCUUGUCUGUGAAACUCUUUAACUCUCCUUCAGGUUUGAAUGGUAGCCUUGCUAGGUUGAGUAUUCUUGGUUGGAGGUCUUUUCUCUUUCAUCACUUUAAAUAUAUUGUGGUACUCUCCUCUGGCCUGCAGAGUUCCUGUUGAAAAGUCAGCUGGUAGUAUUAUGCAACUUCUCUGUUUCUUUUCCCUUGCUGCUUUUAAUUUUCUGUCUUUAUCUUUGAUUUUUGCCAUUUUAAUUACAGUGUGUCUUGGUGUGGUCUUCUUUGGGUUAAUCCUGUUUUGGACUCUCUGCACUUCUUGUGGGUGACUGCUUCCUUUCCCAGGUUAGGGAAUUUUUCAGAUAUUAUGUCUUAAAAUAUGUUCUCUUCCCCUUUCUCUCUCUUCUAUUUCUUAGUCCCCUAUAAUGUAAUGUUAGUGCACUUGAUGUUGUCCCAGAAGUCUCUUAAACUAGACUCAGUUUAUAAAUUCUUCAGGUUUUUUUUUCUGUUCAGCAUCAGUGAUUUCCACUACUCUGUCUUACAGCUUGCUGAUCCAUUCCUCUGUAUCAAACAGUGUACUGUUGAUUCCUUUUAGUGUAUUUUUAUUUCAAAUAUUUUGUUCUUCUACUCUGUUUGCUUUUUCUUUAUAUUUUUUGUUUGUUAAACUUCUCACUUUGUCCAUCCAUUCUUCUCCUGAGUAUAUUGAGCAGCUUUGUCAUCAUGGCCUUGAAGUCUUUAAUCAUUUGGACUGCUUAUCUUUACUUCACUUAGUUCUAAUGAAGCUUUAUCUUCUUUCUUUGUUUUGAACAUACUCCUUUGUUGCUUCAUUUUGCCUAACAUUCCAUUUUUAUUUGUAUGUAUUAGGUAUGUCAAUUACAUUUCCCAGUUUUCUGGUAGUGGCCUCAAGUAGGAGAUAUCCCAGCAGCACACUCUCUUCUGGUCAUCAGAGCCCUAUGAACCCGGAGUGCUCCUUAUGUGGGCUGAGUUAGCCUUUCUUUGUGGCAGGGUUGACCACUGUGGGUGCACUUGGAGAUGGUGUGACUCCCUAGCCUGCUCAGCUGCCAGCCCUGCUGGGUGAGGCUGGGUCCUGGGGAUCCACUGGUGGAUGGAUCCAGAUCCUGAGGCAGCCAGGCAAAGAUUGGAGGAACCUUCAGCUGGUAUCAGCUGCCUGGUGGAUGAGACUGGGUCACUGCACAACUGACUGGGUUGGGGGUCUCAGGACUGGUGCUGGGCUGAGAUCAGCAGUUGGGUCUAACCCAGCUUCUUUCAAAUGACUGCUUAUGCCCUGCAUCCUAGAGGGUGUGGUGGGGUUUUGUGCAUGCCCUUUAAGAGUGGAGUCUCAUUUCCCACAGCCCCAAGGCUCUUCUGAAGUUAAGCCUCUCUGCCUUCAAAGCCAAAUGUCCUGGGGUCUUGUCUUCCUGGUGCAGGACCCUCAGGAUGGGAAGCCUAAUGUGGAGCUUGGACCCCUUGCUCCUUGGGGAAAACCUUGCAAUUGUUAUUAUCUUCCUGUUUAUGGGUCUUGAUGAUACCAUAUCUCUGCUGCUUCUACCCAUCUCGUUGUUCCUUCUUCAUAUCUUUCAUUCUAGAAAAUCUUUUCUGCUUGUCUUCAGGUCAUUCUCAUAGAUAGUAGCUCUGUAUAUGGUUGUCAUUUUGAUGUACCCAUAGGAAGAGGUGAGCUCAGGGUCUUCCUACUCCUCCACCUUUGCCACUCCAGUCUGUGAUUUUUAACCUGGUAGGUAUGUGUACACCUUGCCUCACUAAACAAGUUGCAUAGUAUAUAAAAGAAUGAAAAGAAAUGUGUUCCUUUGUACUUCUGUCUAGAUGCUAUUCAAUCAGUUCAAACUGAUGGAAAGAUUUAGGUUUUUGGAAAAGAUACAGCAAUUCAAAAUCAUGUUUGUUAAAAUACCAUUUCCUGUAGAGCUGUAAUGCUGUCCAUGGGGAUUACUUUUCCUACUCAGGCAUCUGAUGUUUCGACAAUUUUUUUUUCAUAGAAAUGACCACUAACAUCAUUUCAGAUCAACUACAGUGGAAUUAACUUAGGUUGCAGAGUCUGGGAUUUCUCACAUGCACAGAUACCACGUGACACAGUGGCAGCAGCACAGGACUUGCUCAGGAUGUCCUUCUCAGGGGUGGAGUUCUGUGCCAAGGUUUCAUCCCUUCCCAUACCCUGACCAUCUUUUGUGAGGAAGGGGCACCAUGAGAGUAAAGGCCAUGUUCAUGAAUAUAGGCCCUUCUUCUUGGUGUGGUGUGUUACACAUUACUGCUCUCCCUCUUUCCUCGAGCUUUUGACAAUGCUGGGUUCACCUGGUCCCUGUAGUAGGGUAGGAAAAAUGGCCCAGGUCACAGAAGCUGCAUGAAACCUGCCUGAAACUUUCCCAUUUGGGGAAUGAGCACCAUGCUGUCCCUAGUUUGGAUGCAGGUGAUGCAGGUGGCCGUUCAGGAGUGUGCUGGGGCUCAGCCCUCCAAAGAGCUGAGCACAGGUGCACACAGGGGAUGGGAAGUGUCAGAGUGACCUUGCCCCGGAGUGUUGGUAAGGAAUGAGGAGGAGGAACAAUGAUUGUCAAGAGCAAGAGUGAAAGGUGCAUGCACGUAUUCUUGGUCUCUCAUUUGUGAGCAGUAAGGAGGUGAGCAAAGAAGACAGGCCCUCAGAGGAAAUGCACGCUUUCCCUCUGUGCCCCCAGGACUGUGGGCACUAAUGGAGAGCACUUCAUUCUCGUGGGGGCUUUCGGCCGUUCAUGCACCUGGCACCUCCUAAGCUCUACACUCUCUGUCUGCUCAAUGUCUCUGUCCAGCCCUCCUCCUCCUGACUAGCCUGCCCUGGUGGAGCGUUCUCACCAGCUGUCCCUUGUUCUUCUCUUUUGUCUCCUCUGCUCCCUGGACACUUUGCUCCAGGAGCUAUUUUCUUUGUUUGUAUCUUUAAUUCUUUUCGCUCUCUCUUCAGGCUUGCACCAUAUUUUGCCCAGGUUGUUUCCUUAAUGUCCUAAUUGGCUUUCCUGUGUGAAAUGUUCUCUCACUUCCAUAUUGACUUCACACAAGUCCUGACUGCAGCUGUCAUUCUGAAGGCGGUUCUGAGUUCAUUGCACUUCUUUUCAAAACUCUUGUGUGGGUCCCAGGUGCCUGCAGAACAAGCCUCCUCAACUAGUGCUGUGGGUCUUCCAAGGUUUUCCUGCAGCCUCCCUCAGCCUCACCUGCCCACUGUGUUCCCAGAGAUGUGCUGUUUUGGUCAUGGUGAACUAACUGCCCUGCCCCUGCAUUCACUUAUAUCCCUCUGCUCAGCCUGAUUCUUUCUUCGGUUGACUAGUUUUUCUUCCUGUAAAGAUGGUAUUUGCUCUUCAAGGCUCAUGUUGAUGCCUUCCCUCACUCUCCAAGAUACCACCAGCAUUCAGUCAAAAUCUUUUUUCAGCUACUGUUGCAAUAAAAACAGACAAGAUGUGGAGUUCCCUGGUGGCUCAGUGGGGUGAGGAUCUGGUGUUAUCACUGCUGUGGCUCAGGUCACUGCUUGAGUGCUGGUUCAGUUCCUGUCCCAGGAACUUCUGCAUGCUUCAAGCAGAGCCAAAAAGGAAACAAACAAAAAAACAAAACAGGACAAAGAAAACCUCUCAGUGUGAAGUUCCUGUUAUGGCUCAGCCAGUUAAGAAACUGACAUAGUGUCCACAAGGAUGCAAAUUCAAUCCCUGGCCUCACUCAGUGGGUUAGUGAUCCAGAGGUGAUGCAAGCUGUGACUUAGGUCAAAGAUGGUGGUUGUAUCUAGCAUUGCUGUGUAAGCCAGCAGUUCCAACCCCAGUUCAGCCCCACCCUGGGAACUUUGAUAUGUCGCAGGUAUGGCCAUAAAACAAAACAAAAGCAAAACAACACAAAUAAAAUCCAAAACAAAACAGAAAAACCUCUCAAUGUAUGUCUGACCCCAUACAUUUUAUAACUUCUCCUGGAGUUCACUGCUAAGGAGCUGUGCUCUUUUUGACUUGUUCUACAAUUUUCAGGGGUUCAGUGCACCUGGAAGAGGUUUGCAAAGUUCAGUUAAAAGAAAAUAAUCUUCAAACUGGAAAGGAUGUAAUUCAGUCAUUUAUUUUUAAAUACAAGGGUCCUACCCCACAACAGUCAUGAGUCUAGGGUCCUAAAAAAGUGUCUGUGUGAGCACAAAGCCAGAAUCCGUGAUAUUGGAUAAAUUAUGGAAAAUAAGACAGGUGCUGGAUGAGGAUGAGUAAAUGCUUCCUUGAUUUUCAAAAAGGACGUAAGUCAGAGAAAUCAAAGUUCGAUGAUUCUCAGUGAUGCCUCUCAUACAGUUUGGUAGCUGCUCCAUGAUCCAUAGUUGGAAAGUGGUGGUCUCAGGAAACCAGCAUGGGCUCUGUAAUGCUCCUCUUGGAGAGAAACGUCGAGGAUGGGAGCUGGCUUGAGUGCUACAGAAAUGUUGGAGUUCUUGUGUUGAAUAAGAGAGGGAGGUAGAGGAGAGCAAGUGACCCUCAGUGUAAAAACACACCUGACAGCCCAGCCACUCCUUGCUGGCUGGCACCAUAAAGAGCCCCCUGUGCUUCUUGCUGCUUGGUAGUUAAAUGUAAGGGACGACAUAUCAGGUCACACACACUACGACCCUGAAUCCAGCUCACAGGUACAACCAUGGUAUGAAGAUGUCAGAAGGAGCUCUUCAUAGCACUGAGUUCAAUUCUCCAACCAUCAAAAUCAGCUUUAUAACUCAACUCUGAGUAAGGCCCACUCUUGGAUAGUUCAUUGCUCUGUCAGGAAAGCACAGAUUUUUUCUUUUGUCAGAACUGUAUUCCUGUUUUAAAAUAAAUAUCAGGAGUUCCAACUGGGGUGUAGUGUGUUAAGAAUUCCUCUGAAGUGGCUUGGGUCACUGCAGAGGUGCAUGUACGAUCCCUGGCCCAGUGCAGUGAGUUAAGGAUCCAGCGUUACUGUAGCCGUGGCAUAGGUCACAGCUGUGGCUCAGAUUCGAUCCCUGGCCUGGGAACCUCCCAUGUGCUGUGGGUACAG